AGUGAACGCUGGCGGUAGGCCUAACACAUGCAAGUCGAACGGCAGCACAGUAAGAGCUUGCUCUUACGGGUGGCGAGUGGCGGACGGGUGAGGAAUACAUCGGAAUCUACUUUUUCGUGGGGGAUAACGUAGGGCAGCUUACGCUAAUACCGCAUACGACCUACGGGUGAAAGCAGGUGAUCUUCGGACCUUGCGCGAUUGAAUGAGCCGAUGUCGGAUUAGCUAGUUGGCGGGGUAAAGGCCCACCAAGCCGACGAUCCGUAGCUGGUCUGAGAGGAUAAUCAGCCACACUGGAACUGAGACACGGUGCAGAGUCCUACGGGAGGCAGCAGUGGGGAAUAUUUGACAAUGGGCGCAAGCCUGGUCCAGCCAUACCGCGUGGGUGAAGAAGGCCUUCGGGUUGUAAAGCCCUUUUGUUGGGAAAGAAAAGCAGCAGGUUAAUACCCCGCUGUUCUGACGGUACCCAAAGAAUAAGCACCGGCUAACUUCGUG
rnacentral:rRNA from 1 species